rnacentral:rRNA from 12 species
UUUGAUGCAAAAUAACAUAAAUAGUGCAAUAGAACAGGAAGAUAGGAAGGAAAGAAUGAAAAGUAAUUAAAAGAUUCGAUGAAUAGAAUCAAAUCAUGCGCACAAUUUUCCUAUUUGAAGCUGAUUUCUGGAUUUAAUUCAAAAUGUCUUCGCACUGUAACGUCCAAUAGUUCCUUCUUUCCACCCGUUCCUUUCUUCUCCUUGUUGUGAAAUUUGAUCAACCUUUUUAUUAUC